rnacentral:tRNA from 1 species
UCCACUGUGGCUCAGUUGGUAAAGAAUCUGCCUGCAAUGCAGGAGACCUGGGUUUGAUCCCUGGCUUGGGAA